rnacentral:pre_miRNA from 1 species
GCCCUGGGCUUGUGCUCGGGGAGUCAGUGGUGGAUUCUGACCCCCAUGCACCCCUGCAGGUCCCUGGAAUCACUGGCCUCAUCCUUCACCCCUGCCAGCCACACUUGCCCUGUGCCU